GCCUGCUUGGCACAGCGGUAUGCGCCUCUAGUACAGCAGAAUCUGUUUGCUUGCUACCGUGGAAGCGAUGAGGAGAUGACUGGUUCGACUCCAGUAGUGGGCA